UCCCUCUAACGCAAUGGGUAGCGCGUUGGACUUCUAAUCCAAGCCUCGUGGGUUCGAAUCCCACCUAAUUUCUGAGAAU